AGAUUGAACGCUGGCGGCAUGCCUUACACAUGCAAGUCGAACGGCAGCACGGGAGCAAUCCUGGUGGCGAGUGGCGAACGGGUGAGUAAUAUAUCGGAACGUGCCCAGUAGCGGGGGAUAACUACGCGAAAGCGUGGCUAAUACCGCAUACGCCCUACGGGGGAAAGGGGGGAUUCUUCGGAACCUCUCACUAUUGGAGCGGCCGAUAUCAGAUUAGCUAGUUGGUGAGGUAAAGGCUCACCAAGGCGACGAUCUGUAGCUGGUUUGAGAGACGACCAGCCACACUGGGACUGAGACACGGCCCAGACUCCUACGGGAGCAGCAGUGGGGAAUUUGGACAAGUGGGGGAAACCUGAUCCAGCCAUCCCGCGUGUCGCGAUGAAGGCCGUUCGGUUGUAAGA
rnacentral:rRNA from 1 species